rnacentral:rRNA from 1 species
AGCAGCCCAGAGCCUGAAUCAGUGUGUGUGUUAGUGGAAGCGUCUGGAAAGGCGCGCGAUACAGGGUGACAGCCCCGUACACAAAAAUGCACAUGCUGUGAGCUCGAUGAGUAGGGCGGGACACGUGGUAUCCUGUCUGAAUAUGGGGGGACCAUCCUCCAAGGCUAAAUACUCCUGACUGACCGAUAGUGAACCAGUACCGUGAGGGAAAGGCGAAAAGAACCCCGGCGAGGGGAGUGAAAAAGAACCUGAAACCGUGUACGUACAAGCAGUGGGAGCACGCUUAGGCGUGUGACUGCGUACCUUUUGUAUAAUGGGUCAGCGACUUAUAUUCUGUAGCAAGGUUAACCGAAUAGGGGAGCCGAAGGGAAACCGAGUCUUAACUGGGCGUUAAGUUGCAGGGUAUAGACCCGAAACCCGGUGAUCUAGCCAUGGGCAGGUUGAAGGUUGGGUAACACUAACUGGAGGACCGAACCGACUAAUGUUGAAAAAUUAGCGGAUGACUUGUGGCUGGGGGUGAAAGGCCAAUCAAACCGGGAGAUAGCUGGUUCUCCCCGAAAGCUAUUUAGGUAGCGCCUCGUGAAUUCAUCUCCGGGGGUAGAGCACUGUUUCGGCAAGGGGGUCAUCCCGACUUACCAACCCGAUGCAAACUGCGAAUACCGGAGAAUGUUAUCACGGGAGACACACGGCGGGUGCUAACGUCCGUCGUGAAGAGGGAAACAACCCAGACCGCCAGCUAAGGUCCCAAAGUCAUGGUUAAGUGGGAAACGAUGUGGGAAGGCCCAGACAGCCAGGAUGUUGGCUUAGAAGCAGCCAUCAUUUAAAGAAAGCGUAAUAGCUCACUGGUCGAGUCGGCCUGCGCGGAAGAUGUAACGGGGCUAAACCAUGCACCGAAGCUGCGGCAGCGACGCUUAUGCGUUGUUGGGUAGGGGAGCGUUCUGUAAGCCUGUGAAGGUGUGCUGUGAGGCAUGCUGGAGGUAUCAGAAGUGCGAAUGCUGACAUAAGUAACGAUAAAGCGGGUGAAAAGCCCGCUCGCCGGAAGACCAAGGGUUCCUGUCCAACGUUAAUCGGGGCAGGGUGAGUCGACCCCUAAGGCGAGGCCGAAAGGCGUAGUCGAUGGGAAACAGGUUAAUAUUCCUGUACUUGGUGUUACUGCGAAGGG